CACACUAUCAUUAACUGAAUCCAUAGGUUAAUGAGGCGAACCGGGGGAACUGAAACAUCUAAGUACCCCGAGGAAAAGAAAUCAACCGAGAUUCCCCCAGUAGCGGCGAGCGAACGGGGAGGAGCCCAGAGCCUGAAUCAGUGUGUGUGUUAGUGGAAGCGUCUGGAAAGGCGCGCGAUACAGGGUGACAGCCCCGUACACAAAAAUGCACAUACUGUGAGCUCGAUGAGUAGGGCGGGACACGUGGUAUCCUGUCUGAAUAUGGGGGGACCAUCCUCCAAGGCUAAAUACUCCUGACUGACCGAUAGUGAACCAGUACCGUGAGGGAAAGGCGAAAAGAACCCCGGCGAGGGGAGUGAAAAAGAACCUGAAACCGUGUACGUACAAGCAGUGGGAGCCUCUUAAUGGGGUGACUGCGUACCUUUUGUAUAAUGGGUCAGCGACUUAUAUUCUGUAGCAAGGUUAACCGAAUAGGGGAGCCGAAGGGAAACCGAGUCUUAACUGGGCGUUAAGUUGCAGGGUAUAGACCCGAAACCCGGUGAUCUAGCCAUGGGCAGGUUGAAGGUUGGGUAACACUAACUGGAGGACCGAACCGACUAAUGUUGAAAAAUUAGCGGAUGACUUGUGGCUGGGGGUGAAAGGCCAAUCAAACCGGGAGAUAGCUGGUUCUCCCCGAAAGCUAUUUAGGUAGCGCCUCGUGAAUUCAUCUCCGGGGGUAGAGCACUGUUUCGGCAAGGGGGUCAUCCCGACUUACCAACCCGAUGCAAACUGCGAAUACCGGAGAAUGUUAUCACGGGAGACACACGGCGGGUGCUAACGUCCGUCGUGAAGAGGGAAACAACCCAGACCGCCAGCUAAGGUCCCAAAGUCAUGGUUAAGUGGGAAACGAUGUGGGAAGGCCCAGACAGCCAGGAUGUUGGCUUAGAAGCAGCCAUCAUUUAAAGAAAGCGUAAUAGCUCACUGGUCGAGUCGGCCUGCGCGGAAGAUGUAACGGGGCUAAACCAUGCACCGAAGCUGCGGCAGCGACACUAUGUGUUGUUGGGUAGGGGAGCGUUCUGUAAGCCUGUGAAGGUGGCCUGUGAGGGUUGCUGGAGGUAUCAGAAGUGCGAAUGCUGACAUAAGUAACGAUAAAGCGGGUGAAAAGCCCGCUCGCCGGAAGACCAAGGGUUCCUGUCCAACGUUAAUCGGGGCAGGGUGAGUCGACCCCUAAGGCGAGGCCGAAAGGCGUAGUCGAUGGGAAACAGGUUAAUAUUCCUGUACUUGGUGUUACUGCGAAGGGGGGACGGAGAAGGCUAUGUUGGCCGGGCGACGGUUGUCCCGGUUUAAGCGUGUAGGCUGGUUUUCCAGGCAAAUCCGGAAAAUCAAGGCUGAGGCGUGAUGACGAGGCACUACGGUGCUGAAGCGACAAAUGCCCUGCUUCCAGGAAAAGCCUCUAAGCAUCAGGUAACAUUAAAUCGUACCCCAAACCGACACAGGUGGUCAGGUAGAGAAUACCAAGGCGCUUGAGAGAACUCGGGUGAAGGAACUAGGCAAAAUGGUGCCGUAACUUCGGGAGAAGGCACGCUGAUAUGUAGGUGAAGCGACUUGCUCGUGGAGCUGAAAUCAGUCGAAGAUACCAGCUGGCUGCAACUGUUUAUUAAAAACACAGCACUGUGCAAACACGAAAGUGGACGUAUACGGUGUGACGCCUGCCCGGUGCCGGAAGGUUAAUUGAUGGGGUUAGCGGCAACGCGAAGCUCUUGAUCGAAGCCCCGGUAAACGGCGGCCGUAACUAUAACGGUCCUAAGGUAGCGAAAUUCCUUGUCGGGUAAGUUCCGACCUGCACGAAUGGCGUAAUGAUGGCCAGGCUGUCUCCACCCGAGACUCAGUGAAAUUGAACUCGCUGUGAAGAUGCAGUGUACCCGCGGCAAGACGGAAAGACCCCGUGAACCUUUACUAUAGCUUGACACUGAACAUUGAGCCUUGAUGUGUAGGAUAGGUGGGAGGCUUUGAAGUGUGGACGCCAGUCUGCAUGGAGCCGACCUUGAAAUACCACCCUUUAAUGUUUGAUGUUCUAACGUGGGCCCGUAAUCCGGGUUGCGGACAGUGUCUGGUGGGUAGUUUGACUGGGGCGGUCUCCUCCUAAAGAGUAACGGAGGAGCACGAAGGUUGGCUAAUCCUGGUCGGACAUCAGGAGGUUAGUGCAAUGGCAUAAGCCAGCUUGACUGCGAGCGUGACGGCGCGAGCAGGUGCGAAAGCAGGUCAUAGUGAUCCGGUGGUUCUGAAUGGAAGGGCCAUCGCUCAACGGAUAAAAGGUACUCCGGGGAUAACAGGCUGAUACCGCCCAAGAGUUCAUAUCGACGGCGGUGUUUGGCACCUCGAUGUCGGCUCAUCACAUCCUGGGGCUGAAGUAGGUCCCAAGGGUAUGGCUGUUCGCCAUUUAAAGUGGUACGCGAGCUGGGUUUAGAACGUCGUGAGACAGUUCGGUCCCUAUCUGCCGUGGGCGCUGGAGAACUGAGGGGGGCUGCUCCUAGUACGAGAGGACCGGAGUGGACGCAUCACUGGUGUUCGGGUUGUCAUGCCAAUGGCACUGCCCGGUAGCUAAAUGCGGAAGAGAUAAGUGCUGAAAGCAUCUAAGCACGAAACUUGCCCCGAGAUGAGUUCUCCCUGACCCUUUAAGGGUCCUGAAGGAACGUUGAAGACGACGACGUUGAUAGGCCGGGUGUGUAAGCGCAGCGAUGCGUUGAGCUAACCGGUACUAAUGAACCGUGAGGCUUAACCUU
rnacentral:rRNA from 1 species